GCGCAAGAAAGAGGCCAAAUGUUUAUCAGCCCUGGCAUGGAAGUGUACAAAGGUCAAAUAGUAGGCAUCCAUCAACGUCCUGGUGAUUUAUCCCUCAACGUGUGCAAGAAGAAGGCUGCAACUAAUGUCCGAUCUAACAAGGAACAGACAGUGGUUCUCGAUACACCCUUAACUUACAGUUUGGACGACUGCAUUGAAUACAUCCAAGAAGAUGAACUGGUAGAGGUCACUCCGAAGAGUAUCCGGAUGUGCAAGAACCCAAAGUUUGCAAAGAAAGGCAGAUGAUUACAAACUAUAAAAGCUGCUGUGCCAUACAUCCUUUCAGGCUCGCUGGCCCCAAGGAGUCAUCAGUUGCUACAAGUCUCCCCGAACAGGCUAAUGCAGCACUUCAACACUCCUAUAAAAUAUCAGAAUCAUUGCAUCAAUAUGAGGUUGCUGCCUGAUUGUUUAUAUGCAUUAUUUGAUGUCAACAAUAAGCUCAGUAGUGAAAACAAUUAA
rnacentral:misc_RNA from 1 species